AGCUCCAAUAGCGUAUAUUAAAGUUGUUGCAGUUAAAAAGCUCGUAGUUGAACCUUAGGCCCGGCCGGCUGGUCCGUCUUCACGGCGAGCACUGCGUCGUCGCGGGUCUUUCCUUCUGGCGAGCCGGGAUGCCAUUCACUUGGUGUCCGCGGGAACCAGGACCUUUACCUUGAAAAAAUUAGAGUGCUCAAAGCGGGCUCGUAUGCUCGAAUACAUUAGCAUGGAAUAAUGAAAUAGGACGUGCGGUUCUAUUU
rnacentral:rRNA from 1 species